GAUGAACGCUGGCGGCGUGCCUAAUACAUGCAAGUCGAGCGAACAGACGAGGAGCUUGCUCCUCUGACGUUAGCGGCGGACGGGUAAGUAACACGUGGAUGACCUACCUAUAAGACUGGGAUAACUUCGGGAAACCGGAGCUAAUACCGGAUAAUAUAUUGAACCGCAUGGUUCAAUAGUGAAAGACGGUUUUGCUGUCACUUAUAGAUGGAUCCGCGCCGCAUUAGCUAGUUGGUAAGGUAACGGCUUACCAAGGCAACGAUGCGUAGCCGACCUGAGAGGGUGAUCGGCCACACUGGAACUGAGACACGGUCCAGACUCCUACGGGAGGCAGCAGUAGGGAAUCUUCCGCAAUGGGCGAAAGCCUGACGGAGCAACGCCGCGUGAGUGAUGAAGGUCUUCGGAUCGUAAAACUCUGUUAUUAGGGAAGAACAAAUGUGUAAGUAACUAUGCACGUCUUGACGGUACCUAAUCAGAAAGCCACGGCUAACUACGUG
rnacentral:rRNA from 1 species